GAUUAGUUUUCCAUUUUGAAAGAAAAAAUAAAUGAUAGUCAGAGAAAGAUCCGACUAGAAGAGAGGAGAUAAUCAGGGAGAGACAUCCGACGAGAAGAGACGGAAUCGAACAAAUCUCAUUUGGGUAAUUUGAAAUCUGCCUAAAAAUUUCAUUUUUCCCCUAAAAUUUUUUUUUGAAAUGGCAUUUAAUCAGUGGUGUUCUCCGUUUAGAAUUUUGAAAUUGUUAUGGUUUUGUGUAAUCAAAAUUUGAAUCUGAGUUGUUGUGAUUCGUUUCUCUGGCGUCGUGGAUCAAUUGAUUUAUGGGGUUAUCUGAAUGGUGGGUAUGAGGGAAUUGAUGAUGUUGAUUGGGUUAUAUUCAUUUAUGAGGGGAAACAAGAGAAUUCUGUUUUAAAGGUUUAUAGUGAAUGUGGAAGAUGAUGGGUUGGAGUUGUAGUUGGGAAAAUGUCUCUGCUUGCUUGGUUGUAUGGGAAAGUUGAAGAAAUGGGUGCAAUUUCUAGUAGGGAUUGCUAAUGUUUUUGUCAAUUUUUAUUUUUUACUUUUUAUGAAUGGUGGGAAUGAAGAGGGGAUGUCCCAACACUUUCUGGAAUGUUGCAAUUUAAAGUAUGUCUCUUUGCGCUUCACAAUUUUGUUAACAUGCUCUUGAGAGAGGAAAUAUCUGCAUUGAACAUUAUGAAAUCCAACUUGGAAGGUGGAAGAAGACUUUGAACCGAAAUGAGGUUAGCUCAAUGACCUCUCUGAAACAAUUUGAGGAUGUUAAGACAAAAGCAUCAGAUGAAGGUCAUGCCUUAAGGGAGGAGGAUUUAGUGACACAAAUAAAUAAUUUGCAGCUGCAGCUAGGCUCUUUGGGUACAAGAAAAAAGCAAACUGAGAAGAACAGUUGAGCAUUAAAAUAGGCCAAGCAGCACAGUCGUGGAUAGAGAACUCUGGGACGCUACUGAAAUCCAGCAUGGAAGAACACAUUCCUAACUCGAAUAAUUUGGUAGAGGAAAUAGACGGGAAAGAAGAGAACCUUUGUGAUCAGCUGAGAAAAUUUUGAGGGUGAAGAGAAUAAAGCACUGGUAGAAACCAAUUCCAUAAAAGAGCUGGCAAGAACAAAGUUUCAGAACCUUAGAGUUGACAGUGAACACGGAACGGCAGAGGCCAAGUCAGGGCAACCAAAUCCAACUCCUUGGUGAAGAAGCCAGAGAAAAAUUGCUUGUGCGCACCUUUCCAAGAACCCGUGGGGUUCUGAUUUCUCCUUAGGUGCCACUCUCGUUAAUGUGGUAGAUACAUAUUCGUUGCUAGUACCUGCAGUACAAGCUGGUUGUGAGAAGCCUAGCUGGUUGUGGAAAUUCUUCCUCGAAAGAGAUUAAACCUGAGAAGGAUGUCCCAACUAAACUUGGGAAAAGGAGUAUGAUGAUAGAUGAGAACUGACGGAAAACCUACAGUAUCUCCAGUGAACCAGUAGUUCAUAUAGAACCACUUGUUACACCUUUCGAGGGCGACACAUAACAACUAGAUGAUGAUCAUUCUUAUUCAAGAAGCCUGGCUCUUUUUGCUGCAGCUCUUGGACCAUUUGCCUGGGAAGUCACUUCUCUGAGAAUGGAACAGGCACUUCCUACAGGGACGAACUUUGGUCAUGGUGGGUUGGUGAUAGAUAGUUACCGCGAUGAAAUCAAGUCAAAAAUGCUCCAGAGGAGCCAAAGAACUCCUUAGGUCAGUGUGUACUUAUUUCCCUGUUAAAAAAAAAGUCUUUUUAUGUAAUUUAGAACAUAUAAGGGAGUUAAUUAUCUCAAUUCUAGUUUUAUACAAACAUAGAGAGAUGCUAGUUGUUUAUUAACAAUAUAAUAGCAAAUAGAAUAUGGAAUAGUUGUUUUA